ACAGCAGGUUGGUUUGUCGCUCCAUUGUAUUUAUGGGGAGGAAAGUCCGGGCAACAAAGAGCGCCAUACUUCCUAACGGGAAGCUGUCAGUAAUGGCAGAGAAGUGUAACAGAAAAUAACCGUCCACCAACUGGCGGAUAAGGGUGAAAAGGCGAGGUAAAAGCUCACCGGAAGUCACAGUGAUGUGAUUUGCCGUACACCUUAUGGGUUGCAAGAUCGCGUAUACCGGCGCAUGUAGAACUGCUCGUUCGAUGCCGGGGGGUAGAUCGCUCAGAUUCUGUCAGCAAUGCCAGAACAAGAUAAAUGACAAACAUUUUGUCUCGAUAAUAUCGGGACGGAACACAGAACCCGGCUUACAAACCUGCUGUUUUU
rnacentral:RNase_P_RNA from 1 species